GCCGGGCCUGGUGGUGCAUGCCUGUAGUUCAAGCUACUCAGGAGGCUGAGGUGGGAGGAUCACUUGAGCCCAGGAGGUCAAAGCUGCAGUGAGCCAUGAUGGUGCCACUGCAUUCCAGCCUGGGCAACACAGUAAGACCCUGUCUCAA
rnacentral:SRP_RNA from 1 species